CCGGGUCACUCGCAGGCACCCGGUCCAUAAAGACGCUUCGUCUCAAGCACUGC
rnacentral:ncRNA from 1 species